rnacentral:rRNA from 1 species
UAUAACCUGCUCAAUGAAUAUUAAAUAGCCGCAAAUUUCAUGUGCUAAGGUAGCAUAAUCAUUUGUUUUUUAAUUAAAAACUAGAAUGAAAGGUUAAACAUUUAAAUUUUUUUAUUUAUAUUAUUAUAUAAAAUUAUAUUAAAUAUAAAAAUAUAUUUAUAAAAUAAAAAGACGACAAGACCCUAUUGAACUUUACUUAUGUUUAACUGGGGCAGUUAUAUAAAUAAAAUCUUAUUUAUUUUUAAUAAAUGAUCCAAUAAAAUUGAUUUAAUAAACAAGUUACCAUAGGGAUAACAGCGUAAUAAAUAUUAAAAGUUCUUAUUUAAAUAUUUGAUUGCGACCUCGAUGUUGAAUUAUAUUUUCUUAUUUUAGUGCAAUAACAUAUAAAGUA